UCGAUGGGGAUGCGUUCCAUUAGUUAGUUGGCGGGGUAACGGCCCACCAAGACGACGAUGGAUAGGGGUUCUGAGAGGAAGGUCCCCCACAUUGGAACUGAGACACGGUCCAAACUCCUACGGGAGGCAGCAGUGAGGAAUAUUGGUCAAUGGACGAGAGUCUGAACCAGCCAAGUAGCGUGAAGGAUGACUGCCCUAUGGGUUGUAAACUUCUUUUAUAUGGGAAUAAAACAGGGUAUGCAUACCCUCUUGUAUGUACCAUAUGAAUAAGGAUCGGCUAACUCCGUGCCAGCAGCCGCGGUAAUACGGAGGAUCCGAGCGUUAUCCGGAUUUAUUGGGUUUAAAGGGAGCGUAGGUGGAUUGUUAAGUCAGUUGUGAAAGUUUGCGGCUCAACCGUAAAAUUGCAGUUGAAACUGGCAGUCUUGAGUACAGUAGAGGUGGGCGGAAUUCGUGGUGUAGCGGUGAAAUGCUUAGAUAUCACGAAGAACUCCGAUUGCGAAGGCAGCUCACUGGACUGCAACUGACACUGAUGCUCGAAAGUGUGGGUAUCAAACAGGAUUAGAUACCCUGGUAGUCCACACAGUAAACGAUGAAUACUCGCUGUUUGCGAUAUACAGUAA
rnacentral:rRNA from 1 species